GACAGAGGGUGCAAACGUUGUUCGGAAUUACUGGGCGUAAAGCGCGUGUAGGCUGCUGGGCAAGUCGGAUGUGAAAGCCCUGGGCUCAACCCAGGAAGUGCAUUCGAGACUGCAUAGCUAGAGUAUGGGAGAGGGAAGUGGAAUUUCAGGUGUAGCGGUGAAAUGCGUAGAUAUCUGAAGGAACAUCAGUGGCGAAAGCGACUUCCUGGACCAAUACUGACGCUCAUGUGCGAAAGCGUGGGGAGCAAACAGG
rnacentral:rRNA from 1 species